rnacentral:rRNA from 1 species
ACUCAAAGGAAUAGACGGGGACCCGCACAAGCGGAGGAUGAUGUGGUUUAAUUUGACGCUACGCGAAGAACCUCACCAAGGCUUGACAUCCUGGGAACCCUGCAGAAAUGCGGGGGUGCCUUCGGGAGCCCAGUGACAGGUGCUGCAUGGCCGUCGUCAGCUCGUGUCGUGAGAUGUUGGGUUAAGUCCCGCAACGAGCGCAACCCUUGUCGUAUGUUGUAUUUUUCAUACGAGACUGCCCGGGCCAACCGGGAGGAAGGUGGGGUCGAAGUCAGGUCUGCAUGGCCCUUACGCCUUGGGCUACACACGUCAUACAAUGGCCGGUACAACGCGUUGCCAACCCGCGAGGGGGAGCUAAUCGCAUCAAAACCGGUCCCAGUUCGGAUUGCAGGCUGCAACUCGCCUGCAUGAAGUCGGAUUCGCUAGUAACCGUGGGUCAGCACACCGCGGUGAAUACGUUCCCGGGUCUUGCACACACCGCCCGU